rnacentral:rRNA from 1 species
GACGAACGCUGGCGGCGUGCUUAACACAUGCAAGUCGAACGGAAAGGCCCUGCUUUUGUGGGGUGCUCGAGUGGCGAACGGGUGAGUAACACGUGAGUAACCUGCCCUUGACUUUGGGAUAACUUCAGGAAACUGGGGCUAAUACCGGAUAGGAGCUCCUGCUGCAUGGUGGGGGUUGGAAAGUUUCGGCGGUUGGGGAUGGACUCGCGGCUUAUCAGCUUGUUGGUGGGGUAGUGGCUUACCAAGGCUUUGACGGGUAGCCGGCCUGAGAGGGUGACCGGCCACAUUGGGACUGAGAUACGGCCCAGACUCCUACGGGAGGCAGCAGUGGGGAAUAUUGCACAAUGGGCGGAAGCCUGAUGCAGAAACGCCGCGUGCGUGAUGACGGCCUUCGGGUUGUAAACCGUUUUCGCCUGUGACGAAGCGUGAGUGACGGUAAUGGGUAAAGAAGCACCGGCUAACUACGUG